rnacentral:rRNA from 1 species
AGUGAACGCUGGCGGUAGGCCUAACACAUGCAAGUCGAACGGCAGCACAGUAAGAGCUUGCUCUUACGGGUGGCGAGUGGCGGACGGGUGAGGAAUACAUCGGAAUCUACUUUUUCGUGGGGGAUAACGUAGGGAAACUUACGCUAAUACCGCAUACGACCUACGGGUGAAAGCAGGGGAUCUUCGGACCUUGCGCGAUUGAAUGAGCCGAUGUCGGAUUAGCUAGUUGGCGGGGUAAAGGCCCACCAAGGCGACGAUCCGUAGCUGGUCUGAGAGGAUGAACAGGCACACUGGAACUUGAGCACGGUCCAGGCUCCUACGGGAAGCAACAGUGGGGAAUAAUGGACAAUGGGGGGAAACCUUAACCAGGCAAAACGGGGGGGGGGAGGAGGCCUUCGGGUUGUAAAGCCCUUUUGUUGGGAAAGAAAAGCAGCAGGUUAAUACCCCGCUGGUCUGACGGUACCCAAAAGAUAAGCACCGGCUAACUUCGUG